rnacentral:misc_RNA from 1 species
GCGAGUGUUGUUUUCCCGCUCGCAUCACCUUCACUGACACUCAGUUUCUCAAUUAGUCCUGCAGCAGCAGAAGCAUCUUUGCUCUCCUUCUCUUCAGUAUUCCCACCAGAAACAUUUUCGAACAAGUCCAUGAACUUCUUGCAGUUCUCAAUGGAUCCAAACCGAAUGCAAAACGUCUCAGCUUUCAACUCCCCAUCAGAAUAAUCAGCUGCAUGCCACACACACGACUUCUCAUUCCCGGCGUGCUCCUGCAACUUGAUCGAUGGAGUAACGAAAUGGUUGGCAACGAUCUUGAGCGUCUUGCUCUGCCGCAUAACAAGCCUGACCUUCCCAGUCUCCAUGUGCUUCAGCAGCUUCACGCUGCCGGUCCCCCGCUCCUUCCACUGGUUGCUCUCACUAUCAAACCGGUACAGCUUCGCCUUCAGAUCGAGGAGCACAUCCUCGUCCUCCUCGCCAGUGGUGACGA